AGAGGGAUAGCUAGGUCAUAUGGUGGUUCCAUUCCCAGAUUUCCAAGGAAUCUCCAUACUGCUUUCCUUAUUGGCUGUACCAAUUUGCAGUCCUACCAGCAAU
rnacentral:pre_miRNA from 1 species